rnacentral:rRNA from 1 species
GUGAGGAAUAUUGGUCAAUGGGCGGGAGCCUGAACCAGCCAAGUCGCGUGAAGGAAGAAGGAUCUAUGGUUCGUAAACUUCUUUUGCAGGGGAAUAAAGUGCAGGACGUGUCCUGUUUUGUAUGUACCCUGAGAAUAAGGAUCGGCUAACUCCGUGCCAGCAGCCGCGGUAAUACGGAGGAUCCGAGCGUUAUCCGGAUUUAUUGGGUUUAAAGGGUGCGUAGGUGGUUUGAUAAGUCAGCGGUGAAAGUUUGCAGCUUAACUGUAAAAAUGCCGUUGAAACUGUCGGACUUGAGUGUAAAUGAGGUAGGCGGAAUGCGUGGUGUAGCAGUGAAAUGCAUAGAUAUCACGCAGAACUCCGAUUGCGAAGGCAGCUUACUAAGCUACAACUGACACUGAAGCACGAAAGCGUGGGGAUCAAACAGGAUUAGAAACCCGUGUAGUCC